rnacentral:rRNA from 1 species
UUUCUCCGCCGGCGACCGGCGCACGGGUGAGUAACACGUAUGCAACCUGCCCCUGUCAGGGGGACAACCCGCCGAAAGGCGGGCUAAACCCGCGUACAUGCCACCGGGGCAUCCCGGAGGCAGGAAAGGCUUCGGCCGGACAGGGAUGGGCAUGCGGCGCAUUAGGCAGUAGGCGGGGUAACGGCCCACCUAACCGACGAUGCGUAGGGGUUCGUGAGAGGAAGGUCCCCCACACUGGUACUGAGACACGGACCAGACUCCUACGGGAGGCAGCAG